rnacentral:rRNA from 1 species
UACGUAGGGAGCGAGCGUUGUCCGGAAUUACUGGGCGUAAAGGGCGCGUAGGCGGAGUCUUAAGCAGAGUGUGAAAACUAUGGGCUCAACCCAUAGCCUGCAUUCUGAACUGGGACCCUUGAGGGCAGGAGAGGAAAGUGGAAUUCCUAGUGUAGCGGUGAAAUGCGUAGAUAUUAGGAGGAACACCAGUGGCGAAGGCGACUUUCUGGACUGUACCUGACGCUGAGGCGCGAAAGCGUGGGGAGCGAAC